UACGUAGGGGGCAAGCGUUGUUCGGAAUUACUGGGCGUAAAGGGCGCGUAGGCGGCACGGCAAGUCAGGAGUGAAAGGCCUGGGCUCAACCUGGGAAUUGCUUUUGAUACUGUCGAUCUGGAGUAUGGAAGAGGUGAGUGGAAUUCCGAGUGUAGAGGUGAAAUUCGUAGAUAUUCGGAGGAACACCAGUGGCGAAGGCGGCUCACUGGUCCAUUACUGACGCUGAGGUGCGAAAGCGUGGGGAGCAAACAGG
rnacentral:rRNA from 1 species